rnacentral:lncRNA from 1 species
CUUGAGCUACUAGAUCUCUGCAAUGCUAUGCACGAGGACUUCACCGAGUUGAAGGCCAUUAUCCAAGAUCUGCAAGUUGCAACCAGGAAAGGAGAUGAUGCAGUCGUUCAAGUCAAGAUCCAGUCUUACAGCCGCCUGGUAAAGAAGGCAAAGAAACAUUUCAAGAAGGCCGAGAUGAAGGCUACUUCUUCCAAGGAGGAUUGCAGGAUGGUCAGGCUGUUGAGCGAGGCUAGAGAGAUCACUACCUCUCUGCUCGAGUCAACAUUGAACCUCCUGUCCAAGCAAAUUGCAACCCCAAAGCGGUCUCUCGUCUCCAAGGCAUUCCAGAAGAAAACAUCAGUUGUUUGCAAGGAGGAGCAGUUGCAGGUCCUAGAGUGCAGUGUCGGAGAUCUUGAGGCUGGAGCAGGAAUUCUGUUCCGGAGAUUGGUCCAGAGCAGAGUUACCCUCCUAAACAUUCUUAGCUCAUAGAUACUCCUCAACAUGUGUUACUCUUGACACCUGUGAUUGGCUUCCACCUUUUAAAGGAUUGCCAUUCCCAUUGUAUAUGUAGAAAUGUACAGAAAUCUCCAUAGAGAAAACUAGAAAGGAAACAUAAAGUUUUGAUCCAACUCAUAUUGCGUAUUCAAUCCUCACUUGCUUCUGAGAUUCGUGAUGCGUUUAUGCACUUUGUUAUAGGCUUCCAUUUCUAUGGAAUGGAAAUGGAUAGCACAUAGCACUUGGAAAAAAUGGUUUGAUUAUGCAAUAUGAUGCAGUAAGAUUGUCUUCCUAGUGAAUAUACAGGGCAGAACCAGUAAAAUAAUUAUGAAAUAUGUGCUUCCAUAAUUGUAUAGCCCCCAGAUAUAAACAUUUGCUGAGCAAAAUUUAAUUUGGCCAUUUAAGUUCUGCACUGGUCCGAACUACCUGCUUGUUUCUAUAUGCAUGUGGCCAUGUUACCCAGGCUUGUUGAAUCUCAUAAUUAGUGUGCGAUCCUUGUUUGGCGCAUCUUGUGUUACAUCCAUCGUACAUGCCAGGUCCGAGCUUCAAGGCAAGCUUGCAAUUACGACAACAUAUUAGCUGGCCAAAUUUGCUGCACGGUCACACAGGCUACACUGGUACUGCUUUGUGUUUUCUUUAGUUUGUAGUACAUAUCCAUAUCAUGACAAAUGAACUAUCCAACAUAAAAGUAUAGUUACAUGAAAGAGGUAGCAGCUUCAGUUUGUUCGUUGGCACAACCGUGGUGGUUGCAAAACAAUGUGACAAAUUUCUAAAAUCUCAGUGUACUUCCAGUUUCAGUAUCAACUACAUCCCAAUCAUUCCAUUUCGAGCACAUAAACAAUAGUGUACAAAGUAUGGUAUGCCAUUACAGACACCAACCAAAUAUGCCCCAUAAGCGAGAAGAGCAAAUUUGAGGGGUGGAUGAGUGAGAAAUUGCAUGCAGAACCAGAUGGUUCUUAGGCUGAGAAAGAGGAUUUAAAAAAUCAAUACGAUGCGAAUUUCCUGUAGGACCCAACAAUCGCUCAUCAGCCAACCAAGAAAGCAAGCUAUCAACGGUACGAUUCAGGUUAGGUCAUCACGCGGCAUUGCAACAUGCAGGGAAAUAAGGGCUAGCUAGAUGCGUACCACGGUGGGGAACUCUGGAGAUCUCGAGCUCCCUCCAGGGGCCGCGGCGUAACCACCAUAAUACGGUGGGGAUCGCCGGCGGCGGGGGGCGGGGGGCGAUGUGCCGCCGCGGUUUCUCUCCUCCGCCUCCCCCUUGCCCCUCCCUCCACCGCGGAAUGAGGUGGACCAUCUGGGCUUCUGGUUGGGCUGGUCAACUGGGCCCUCAUGAUUUUAUAUAGCCCAGCAUACGCUUUCAAUUUGGGCUCAGGACUAGGGGAGAGACGAAGAGGAUUCUUUCGCUCAAAAAAAACGAAGAGGAUUCUGGCGACUACUUCUCUGGCUCACGGGCUCAGCUGGGCUGGGUUAUGGCCCAUCUUAAAGUCCUACUUUUCUGUCCACAACGAUUCUCAAGGCCUCCCGACUUCCGCGGCCGAGGUAUUCCAUUCAUUCCUGUAAACCCUAGAUAAACUUUUACCAUCCGUCCGUCUCGUUCAUUCAUCGGACGCACACGUUUCUCGUUGGAGUUCAGGAGUUAAAUUCAGAUUCGCACUUGAUGUCUGUACCAUAAGAUUUGUAUGCGCUCAGAUUGGCAUGGAUCGCUUCUCCGGAGGAAUAUUUUCCUGUCCCAAACUCACAGUAUAUGAUUGCAGAAACUACAUAAACACCAUAUAGCUCACUUCAUAAUUUCAUUUAACUCAAGACAUAAGAUCAAAUUCAUUAUUUUCCAUAUGGCUUCCUUCUGAACAGCCUUGAUCCUACACCAUUUGCGAUUUCAUUGCUGUUAUUCUGCUAAACUUGCUAUCCUAUCUUAGCUAGUUAGUACCCAUUUUCUUCCUUUGUUGUGGAGGAAUGACGGGGGAAUACGCAGAAUGCGCACAAGCACCCUACAGAAUUGCACAUACCACCUCCAUGGAGAUUUUUGUAGCAAUCAUUAUCGCAAGCGUCAGGAUCACAUGGCACACGCGACGGGAUAAUCAUUGUCGUACAGUACUCAGGCUGGAUGCGACCUUCCGUCGACGCCUUCAUCACCGCAUCUGUGAAAUCGCACCAUGAAGCGAAGAGCGGAUCACAACAUGGCCAUGGUUUUCUAGACGAGUUGCUGAAGAAACAUACGAGUACCUGAUGCUAGCACGAGGAAGGCGAGGGUCAGGAGCAACCUCUGGGUUGCCCUCAUCUUAACUAGUUGUGGUGUUCACGGAAAGAGGUGUUGGCUGUCUGUGUGUUGUGAAGGAGAACAACACAAUGGCAAGCCUUUUUUAUAGUGGAUGUGGUGUCGAACGUUCAUUACCAUAUUUGCGGGAUCGCAUUAAAGUACCACGCAUGUUUCUAAAUAUAGGAUGUUCUAGUUUUGUCAUAAGUCAAGCUUCUUCUAGUUUGACCAAGUUUUUAGAAAAAUUUAAUUAUAUCUACAAUAUUAAAUGAAUAUGUCAUGAUAUCAUGACAGAUUUAACAAAGCUAAUUUAUAAUUAUAGAUGUUGGUGGAUUUAUCUACCUCAAAAUUAAAGGAAAUUGACUUAGAACAUCUUAUAUUUAAAAACGGGGAGUACCAGACUGGAUAAGCCGUACCGAAUGAAUAGCAAUUAAGUGCAUCAGUUCCGUUACUUGCAUAGAUAUUCGUGCAUCAAAAAAGAAGUCUUUGCCGGUUCAUUCGCCACGUGCCACCCCCAACCUCCCGAGAAGGCAAAACUUAAUCAAUGCAGCUAGCCAUUAAAAUCCUAAUUUUUCAGUUUGUAAGUCCAUAUAGGUAGCCAGAUGCUGUUGAUAUAGUAAACUUUUUUUCUGAAGAAAUCAGAUCUAGAUUGUGCAGAGCGCUCUCCACUCAAGCUGAUUCUGUGUCUAGUUCUCCAUCUGGAAAACAAAACUAAUGUCUAAUCGUAUUGAAUUCAUCAAAACCUUUAUGUGUGCUGAACACAAUUGAGUAUCGAGUUUUCUUUCCCUGUCUCAAACUCAUAAUAUGCUUGCAGAAAACACAGAUAAACACCAUACUUCAUAAUUUCAUUUAACUCGAGGCAUAAGAUCAAAUUCCUUAUUUUUCAUAUGGCUUCCCAGUGAACAGCCUUCAUGAUACACCAUUUGCGAUUUCGUUGUUGUUAUUCUGCUAAACUUGCUAUCCUAUCUUAGCUAGUUGGUACCCAGAAUGGUGGGGAAUACGCAGAAUGUGCGCAAGCACCCUUUAGCAACGCACUUGCCACUUCCCUCGAGUUGUUUGUGGCAAUCAUUCUGGCAAUCGUCAGGAUUACAUGGCACACGCGAUUGGAUAAUAAUUGAAUCACAGUUCGCCGGCUCGAUACUACCUUCUGCUGACGCCUUCAUUACAGCAUCUGUGAAAUCUCACCGUGAAGGAAAGAGCAGAUCACAACAUGACCAUGGUUUUCUGGACGAGCUGCUGAAAAAACAUAUGAGUACCUGAUGCUAGCACGAGGAAGGCGAGUGUCAGGAGCAACCUCUGGGUUUUCAUCAUCUUAACUAGUUGUGGUGUUCACGGAAAGAGGUGUUGGUUAUUGUCUGAUUUGUGUGUUGUGAAGGAGAACAAAACAAUGGCAAGCCUUUUUAUAGUGGAUUUGGUGCCGAUCUUCCUUACCAUAUUUCCAGGAUCGCAUUAAAGUGGAAGACUGGAUAAGUAGUACCGAAUUAGUAGCAAUUAACUGCAUUAAGUGCAUCAGUUCUGUACUUACAUAGAUAUUUGUGCAUCAAAAAAGAAGAGGUAAGACAGGAUAAAUUUCUUUGGUUCUGUGAGCCGUAUCAAAAACAAAAACCUUGUUAGAGGAGGACUCACCACUACCCUGAGAAGGCAAAAACUUAAUCAAUGCAGGCAGACAACCUCGCCUGCUAAUAUGCUUUGCUAAUUACUCCAUCCUUUUCAGCUUAUUAGGACUAUCUCAAAAUCCUAAUUUUUCAGUUUGUAAGCUCACUUGUUUUGGGAAUAGGCAAAACUUCAAUUACAUCCACAUUAAUUUCUGCCUAAUUUUGAUUCUAAAAUUGGAACCAACCAAUGCGUGAAGGAGACAGGUAGCCAUGCAUGCUGCACUAAUACAUGGUCCAACACUUAACGGGGUCUUCUCCUUUUUUAUUCUUUGGUUGUUGUGAUUUUUUAAAUGAGCCUAAUAAACUGAAAAGGAGGGAGUGCUAGUUUUAAUGGUAGUGCUUCAGCUUGAUCUGUCGUAGUUAUAUAUGUAGAGUAGGUCACUAAACAUGGAUCAUGUAUCAAUUGUGAGCUUAUAAAAGGUGAAAGGUAACAUGUGCACAUGAACGUACAAACACGACCAAGCCUAAACAGUUUGCUGCUAGUAUGUAUCUAUUUAUGUAUAGAGAAAAACAUGCAUUGUGAUUCAUGUUGUUUUACAAAAUAAAAAAGGGAAGGAAUACUAAUGCGGAACUUAUUUCAUAAUUUUGGACCUUGCAUUCAUCAUACUACAACACAUACGUGAUGACCGGCACCACGCAUAAUCACAAUAACUCAUCUUGAAUCUCAGAAUCAUGCGAUGGUUGAGUUCACUAAGUUUCAUCAAAACUUUUGUUUCCUUUUCUAUAUGGAGUAUUCUGUACAUUUCUACAUAUACAAUGAGAAUGAUCAGCAAUCCUUUAAAAGGUGGAAGCCCAUCGCGGGGGUCAAGAGUAACAGAUGCUGAGGAGUAUCUAUGAGCUAAGAAUGUUUAGGAGGGUAACUCUGCUCUGGACCAAUCUCCGGAACAGAAUUCCUGCUCCAGCCUCAAGAUCUCCGACACUGCACUCUAGGACCUGCAACUGCUCCUCCUUGCGAACAACUGAUGUUUUCUUCUGGAAUGCCUUGGAGACAAGAGACCGCUUCGGGGUUGCAAUUUGCUUGGACAGGAGGUUCAAUGUUGACUCGAGAAGAGAGGUAGUGAUCUCUCUAGCCUCGCUCAACAGCCUGACCAUCCUGCAAUCCUCCUUGGAAGAAGUAGCCUUCUUCUCGGCCUUCUUGAAAUGUUUCUUCGCCUUCUUUACCAGGCGGCUGUAAGACUGGAUCUUGACUUGAACGGCUGCAUCAUCUCCUUUCCUGGUUGCAACUUGCAGAUCUUGGAUAAUGGCCUUCAACUCGGUGAAGUCCUCGUGCAUAGCAUUGCAGAGAUCUAAUAGCUCAAGGGAGCACCCCAUUUCUGUAUCCAACAUCUUCCUUUGCUGGGAAGAGCAGACUUGGUUGCUAGGAAGACACAUGAUCUCCUCGAUAGUGUCAUAGAUGUCUCCAAGCCUCCUCAAACCAUCAGAGAUUGCGUCGAUGGUCAUGGAGGGUGAAGAGAUGCAUGCCUCUAGGCUGUGCAGCUCCUCUUCAACUUUGGUGUGAGGCCUGGAAGGCAAACUAAUUGAUCUCUGAUGGCAAGCCAUAUCUGAUGCUGAAACUCUUUUCUCUGUGUUGAGUUUGGGGAUAUGAGAAUGAGAGAAUGCCUUUUGGUUUGAUGUGUUUAGCCUUCUGCUGAGGCCUAUUUAUACAGAGGAACUGUAUGAUGCAGGUCCAUUCGAAUGGUAGACACGAGGAAUCAUGCCAUCUCAUCUCCACAGAUGCUGUCUAUCAAAGCUUUUAAAUCUGGCAGCAAUGUUAGGAAUCUUUGCGCAUGUGUUGUUUAAGUUCUUUAGUGCAUUAGCUGUUCUCUCAAUGAGAUAUCACAUUGCCAUGUUCCAACUAUCGGCGACAAGAAUCAGCAGGGUUGUUUGCUCUACUGUUGGAUCCUGACGUGAUUGCACACUUAAGAUAAUUUUUAAUGGAGUACUAACCGAGUAUUUAUUGGCGGUAUGAGUAUUAGGUAAUGGUGUUGUAUUCUGCACAAUGCAUGCUACUUGCAUGCUCCACCUGGACUGUUUUGAUUUUUUAGCUGCUUUGGUUUGAGUUGCUAAAGGCAUUUGGGUGAUACCAGUAGAAACACAUAAAUUUUGCAGCUUGUGUAUAACUCUUUAUGUUUUUUUAAUAAAAUGAGAUGGCCUUAAAAUUGGUAAUUCGAGAAACAAGAGGCUCUUGGCUUUUAAUAAGAUGAGAUAGCCUGAAGAAGAUUCUUCAUAUGUAGCCAUCAUGAUUGUUGUUUUCAUUCCAAACAUGCAUCUUUUUCUUGAUUUUUUUAUUAAUUGUGCCUGCUACUGUUGUUGCUCUUAUUUAUUUAUUUUUGACGAAAGACAGCAGCGCUGUUAUUCAUUAAUUAAGGAAGAGUAUAAUACAGAACAGAACAAAAGGUGAGGCUACACAGGAGAAGAGGGCAACGAACAAACAACUAAAGGGGAAGACUAAAACAGCAGCAGGCAGCUCAGGUGGCCGACAAAUCACUGUUGUUGCUCUUAGACAUUGCAAUUCGAGCUUUGAUAUUUACACGAUUCAAGACGAUACAGUGGUAGGCUCUGGAUGGUGGAGCAGACAAGGAUGGAAGAAGAGCUCUGAGGGGAGAAGGGCCUUUGCGGUUUUUUUUGGAGCUUUAGGAUCGGAAUGUUGUUGUCAAUUUACAGCACACUAAUAUAUUGUACUUUGUCAAUGAAGAUCUUUUCUAGUGGGUCUUGCUAGUUGCUACCACAUCUAAAACAAGAAAGCUCCAUCCCACGAGGUUGAGCGUGCAAGUAGCAUGAAAUCGCGCUUAAUAGAACACCUACUGGGAUUAAAACCUGCAAAAAAAACAAGAAUAAUGCUCAGUUUUUUUACCGAAAGAAUAAUGCUCAGUUAGCCACCGCACUAUGAUAAUGUCUAGAGAAUGCAAAUAUGUCAAGAUCCACCAGUAGACUGAACUGACCUGCUGUUUCUUGUUGGUGAUGGCUAUGGCUUGACCUGCUGCCAGUAAUUGGAACACGAUGGUGUGAUUCAGUAGUAGAAUAUUGGAUAGCACAUGGGCCACGUCCAGAUUGAAAAUAGACGCCAGCCAAAUGCUUCUAAGAGCGACACGAGUACAAAACAUGCCAGCGAUGCUGCACGAGGAGUGAUCAGGAACCAGAUAAACACGGUGUUGCGUUGGAGCCUGGAGAUGCGGAGUCAACUGCUCUUCGACUAGCAAAGGCACAGCUCACGGAUCUCAUGAUCUGGGUCUACACGCCCGUGCAGAUGAGUUUGCCACCAAAAAUCAAGACAUGAUAGCCUUGUAGCCUCAGUUCGAGAGAUGCUACCUACUGAAGAUGGUUGGGAGACACAGAAGAACAAUCACCUUGUCGUUGAGAUUGUUGUUAUUUGUUGCACCAGCAGGCAGCAAAGAACUUCAUCAUCGAAAAGAUUCUUGUUCUCUACAGGCUCAGCGAUGCCAUGGCUUUCUGCUUCUUUCGGUAUAUAAAGAGGAGCCAAGCCAUCGCCAGAUCUCAACACAAGCUUCUCUCUGAGUCUCCUCUUCCAUCCACAACGAAGGAAAAAGACCUUCAGCUUCCAUUACAGACAUGGCAUGCCACCUCAGAUCUGCGAGUGUGCCUUCAAGCCCCUGCUCCGGCAAAACCAAUGUUGAAGGACAGCUUCAGAGCAUAAACGCUGCUGCCUCCUCACCUUCUUCGACCAUCGACACAAUGUGUUAUGGGUUGAGGAGGCUUGGAGACAUCUACAACUGCAUCGAUGAGCUCACAUCCUUGCCUAGCAGCCAAGUUCUCCUCUGCAGGCAGCAGCAGAGGCUUGCUGUUGAGCAAGAGCUUGAGCGGUCCCUCGUCUUGCUUGACCUCUGCAACACGAUGCAAAUGAGCUUUUGUGAGCUCAAGGAGAGCGUUCAGGACAUGCAACUGGCUAUCAAGAGAGGCAAUGGUGUGGCUCUUCAGGCCAAGAUGCAGUCUUGGUUCCGCCUGACCAAGAAAGCACAAAACCAGCUCAAGAAGAUCAGCAAGAAGUCUGCUCCGGCUGAUCUCCAGAGCUGCCGGGUGGUCAAUCUGUUGGCUGAAGCUAGAGAAGCCGCUGUCAAAAUGAUUGAAUCCUCGAUGGAGCUGCUUUCAAAGAAAAUUACAGCGCCGAAUUCUGGCAAGCUGUCUCUUGUAUCCAAGGCAUUCCAGAAGAAAAGAGUUGUAUGCGAGGAGGAGCAAUUGCAGGUGCUCGAGUCGAACAUUGUUGAUCUUGAGAAUGGAGUCGAGACUUUGUUUAGGAGAUUGAUCCAGAGCAGAGUUUCUCUUCUGAAUACUCUCAGCUUGUAGAUUAGAUCACAUGUCAACUCUGAUGCCCUAUGGUUGGCGUCCGCCUUUUAGAGGACUUGCUGAUCAUCAUAACAAUUUUGCAAUGUGUAUACAUGAGAGGAAUUGUACAUAUAUACAUAUAUAUAAUCCAUUGAGAAACCAAAUUUUUUUUCCAUUUCCUGUUCUUCAGUUGUUCCUACAUGGUUUAUGCAUGCUUCAUCACAAUAACUGAGUAUGGGAUGGUUCAUAAGAAAAAUAAUUUUUUUUUUGAGGAAUUAAGAAAAAUAAUUUAGUUGCAAGAUGCUUAUCAUUAUUGAAUAUCAUAGAAGUGAUUAGACAAAUUGUUCAAGCUGAUAUUUAAAACGCCUUACUAUGAGAUGGCCCUGUUAUACAGAUGCUAAGUGUUGCAGCAGAAAGAGCAGUAGAUCUUUUGUUGUGGAUCUUGCUACCAUAUCUAAAACAAGCCAGCUCGAACUCAUGAGGUUGAGCGUGUAAGUAGCAUGAAUUGCACUUAAUAGAAUACCUAUUGGAAUUAACAACGGCACAAAAACUAGGCAACACGCUUGUCACGAAAGAUACUCGGUAGCACUCCGAUAAACUAACUAAUCUCUAGAGCAUGCAAUUAUGUCAAGAUUCACCUGUGCAGUGAACUAACCUGCUUGUUGAUGGUAAUAGUUGGAACAUGAGAACGUGAUAGCUCGCUCAGGGGAUACUUACUGCCAGUGCACUAAAAAAUUGAGUCGCAUAAGAGUGAUGAAACAGAUUGUUACUGACAGUAACAAUCUCCUGUCAUGCUGAUUAAAAAGUGUACGCGUGGCACCAACGAUAUUACUCGGCUAGCAAUCUCCAUUAAAAAGUGUUCGCAUGCAGGCUACCAGGCUGAUUCUUGCUGGCAGGAACUGGAACAUGAGACUGUUAUUGAGUAGUAGAAAAAUGGAUAGCACAUGGAUCAUCUCAAGAUUGGAAUAAAUGUCAAAUGGUUGCAAGUACGCCACGCAGGUGAAACAUGCCAGCGAUGCCACACGAGGAGUGAUCAGAAUCCAGAUAAACGCGGGUGUUGCAUUGGAGCCAGGAGAUGCGAAGUCAACUGCUCUUCGACUAGCGAAGGCACAGCUCAUGGAUCUCAUCUGGGUCUACACGCCCGUGCAUAUGAGUUUGCCACCAAAAAUCAAGACAUGAUAGCCUUGUAGCCUCAGUUAGAGAGAUGCUACCUACUGAAGAUGGUUGGGAGACACACAAGAAGCAUCAACUUGUUGUUGAGAUUGUUGUUAUUUGUUGCAGCAGCAGGCAGCAAAGAACUUCAUCACUGACAAGAUUCUUGUUCUCUACCAGAUAAGCAAUGCCAUAUGGCUUCCUGCUUCUUCCAGUAUAUAUGUAUGAACAAGCCAUAGCCAGACCUCAACACCAUUGUAACACAAGCUUCUCUUUGAGUCUCCUCUUCCAUUCCCAACGAAGUAAAAAGAACUUCAGCUUCCACUACAGACAUGGCAUCCCACCUCAGAUCUGCGAGCGUGCCUUCAAGCCCCUGCUCCCGUGAAACUGACAUCGAAGGACAGCUGCAGAGCCUAAACACCGCCAUCUCCUCACCCUCUUCGAACAUCGAGACGGUGUGUGAUGGGUUAAGGAGGCUUGGAGGCAUCUACGACUGCAUCGAUGAGCUCACAUCCCUGCCAAGCAGCCAGGUUCUCCUCUGCAAGCAGCAGCAGAGAAUUGCUGUUGAACAAGAGCUCGAGCGCUCCCUCGUCUUGCUUGACCUCUGCGACGCGGUGCAAGUGAGCUUCUCUGAGCUCAAGGCAAGCAUUCAGGACAUGCAGUUGGUUAUCAAGAGAGGAGAUGCAGCAGCUCUUGAGGCAAAGAUCCAGUCUUGGUUCCGCCUGACCAAGAAAGCACAAAAACAGAUCAAGAAGAUCAGCAAGAAGUCUUCUCCAACUGAUCUGGAGAGCUGCAGAGUGGUGAAUCUGCUGGCUGAAGCUAGAGACGCCGCUGUCACAAUGAUUGAGUCCUCAACAGAACUCCUGUCAAAGCAAAUUGAGAUGCCAAAUUCUGCUAAGUGGUCUCUUGUAUCCAAGGCAUUCCAGAAGAAAAGAGUUACAUGCAAGGAGGAGCAAUUGCAGGUGCUGGCAUUGGACAUCGUUGAUCUUGAGAGUGGAGUUGAGACUUUGUUCAGGAGAUUGAUCCAGAGCAGAGUUUCUCUUCUUAAUACUCUCAGCUUGUAGAACAGAUCACGUAUCAAGUCUGAUGCCCUGUGAUUGGCGUCCGCCUUUUAGAGGAUUUGCUGAUCAUUGUAACAAUUUUCCGAUGUGUAUACAUGGGAGAACUGUACAUAUAUACAUACUCAAUUGAGAAACAACACAUUUUUGUCCACUUCCUAUUGUGCCUGCUUGGUUUAUGCACGCUUCAGUACAGUAACUAAGAUUGGGGUGGGGUAACUCAAAUGAUUCUUUCCUGGAAAGAAAAAUAAUCUAAGUAGAAGAUGCUGAUCAUAAAGGAAGUAGUUAGACAGAUUGUUGAUCUUUAAAAUGCCUUCCUAUGAGAUAGCCAUGUUAUUCAGAUGCUAUGUGUUGCAGCAGAAAAGGCAAAAGAUCUCAGACCCAUAAGUUUGAGCGUGCAAGUAUCAUGAAUUGCGCGUAACAGCACACCUAUUGGAAUUAACAACUGCAGAAAAAACUAGAUAACACGCUUGUCAUGAACAGUACUCGAUUAGCACUCCAUUAAAUAAUCUCUAGAGCAUGCAAUUAUGUCAAAAUCCACCAGUAGAGUCCACUGACCUGCUGGUUCUUGUUGGCAACAAUUGGAACAUAAUAAUAUGUUAGUGCAUUGGGAAGACUCUUACUGGCAAUGCACCGAAAAAUUGAGUCACGCAUGACUGGUGAAACGGAUUGUUACUGCCAGUAACUGUAACACGCAUGGUACCAAAUAUACUACUCGGCAAGCAAUCUCCAUUAAAAAGUCUUACAGCAUGCAAGUUGCCACACUUUGCUUGCUCACAGUAACUGGUGAUUAAGCAGUAGAAAAUUGGACAGCACAUGGAUCCUCUUGAGAUUGGAAUAGUCGAAUAGAUGCCAAAUGCUUGUAAGCAUGAACGCAGGGAGAGCAUGCCAGCGAUGCCCGCACGAGUGAUCAGAAACCAGAUAAGAAAUACGCUGUUGAAUUGGAGCCUAGAGACGUGAAGUCAACUGCUCUCGAUUAACAAAGGAACAGCUCACCGAUCUCAUGAUCUGGGUCUACGCGCCCGUGCAGAUAAGUUUGCUACCAAAAAUCGAGACAUGACAGCCUCGUAACCUCAGUUAGAGAGAUGCGACCUACUGAAGAUGCUUGGGGACAGAGAAAAAGAAAUAUCAACUUGUUGUUGAGAUGGUUGUUAUUUGUUGAACCAGCACAGCACUCCAUUGUCUACAGGGUCAGCGGUGCAAUGGCUUCUGCUUCUUUCUGUAUAUAUAGGUAAGAGCCAUAGCCAGAUCUCAACACCAUUGCAACACAGCUUCUCUUUGUUUCUCCUCUUCCAUCCCCAAAGAAGAAAAAGGAGCAUCAACUUCCAUUACAACCAUGGCAUCCCACCUCAGAUCUGUGAGUGUGCCUUCAAGCCCCUGCUCCAGCCAAGAAAAUGUCGAAGAGCAGCUGCAGAGACUAAACGCUGCCAUCUCCUCACCCUCUUCGACCAUUGAGACUAUGCGUGAUGGGUUGAGGAGCCUUGGAGACAUCUAUGACUGCAUUGAUGAGCUCACAUCCUUGCCCAGUAGCCAAGUUCUCCUCUGCAACCCGCAGCAGAGGAUUGCUGUUGAGCAAGAGCUCGAGCAUUCCCUCGUCUUGCUUGACCUUUGUGACACAGUCCAAGUGAGCUUCUCUGAGCUCAAGGCAAGCAUUCAGGACAUGCAGUUGGUUAUCAAGAGAGGAGAUGAUGCAGCUCUUCAGGGGAAGAUCCAGUCCUGGUUCCGCCUGACUAAGAAAGUGCACAAGCAGCUCAAGAAGAUCAGCAAGAAGUCUUCCCCAGCUGAUCUGGAGAGCUGUAGAGUGCUCAAUCUGCUGGCUGAAGCUAGAGAAGCCGCUGUGACAAUGAUUGAAUCCUCAACAGAACUCCUGUCAAAGCAAAUCACGAUGUCAAAUUCUAGCAAGUGGUCUCUUGUAUCCAAGGCAUUCCAGAAGAAAAGAAGUUCAUGUGAAGAGGAGCAAUUGCAGGUGAUCGAGUUGGACAUUGUUGGUCUUGAGAGCAGAGUCGAGAUUUUGUUCAGGAGAUUAAUCCGGAGCAGAGUUUCUCUUCUGAAUGCUCUGAGCUUGUAGACUAGAUCAUAUACCAACUCUGAUCCCCUGUGGUUGGCGUCCGCCUUUUAGAGGAUUUGCUGAUCACCAUAACAAUUUUGCAAUGUAUAUACAUGACAAGAAUUGUAAAAUAUACUCCACUGAGAAACAAAAGCAUAGUUUUUGCCCACUUCCUUGUGUCGACUACAUUGUUUAUUAGUGGUUUGAUACAAAUAAUGAAAUAAUUGCUCAGAAGAUGCUUAUCAUUAUUGACUAUUAUAGAAGUAGUCAGACUGAUUGUUCAAGUUAAUCUUUAAAAUGCUUUAAUAUGAGAUGGCCCUGUUAUUCGGAUGCCAUCUGUUGUACCAGAAAUACGCAAAAGAUCCUAGUGAAAUGGAUCUUGCUACCGUAGCCAAAACAAGCCAGCUCCAACGAACGAGGUCGACCGUAGAUAGCAUGAGGUUAGUAUACAAAGAAGAUGCUGGAAUUAACAAGUGCAGAAAAACUAGGUAACACCUUGUGACCAAUAAGACUCAGUUAGACUCUGCUGUAAUAAUCUCUAGCAUGCAAUUAGGUCAAUAUCCACCUGUAGAGUGAACUAACCUGCCUUGUUGUAGACAAUAGUUUGAACUUCGAACAUGAUAUAUCCCUAAUUCAUUGAGAGGAUAGUUAGCUCGCUCAGGUAAAAAAAAGAUACACAUGAGUCAUGCUGAUUCCUUGGUUGGCAAUAUCCAUUAAACAAGUGCGACAGCAUGCAAUAGAAUAAGCUGUCGUGCUGAUUCCUGCUGGCAGUACUCGGUACAUAAUAGUGUGAUUCAGUAGUAAACAAAUGGGAAGCACAUGGAUCAUCUCAAGAUUGCAAUAGAUGCGAAAUACUUGUAAGCGCGGCAGGCAGGCGAAACAUGCCAGCGAUGCAGCACAAGGGGUGAUGCAGAAACCAGGUAAACACAGUGCUGUGUUGGAGCUUGGGGGUGAAGUCAACUGUCCUUCGACUACCAAAGGCACAGCUCACUGAUCUAUAUGACACGCUCAUGCAGAUAAGCUUGUCCCCAAUAAUCGAGAUACUUGGUUGGGAGACAGGAAGAGCAUCAGCCUAACAUGGAGAUGGGUGGUAUUUGUUGCAGCAGCUCCAUUAUAGUGGAGAUUCUUGCUGUCUGCAGGUUCAGCUAUGCCAUGGCUUCCGCGUCUUUUCGUAAAUACUUGUAUAUAUAGGGACAAGUCUUAGCCAGAGCUCGACACCAUUGCAACACAGCUUCUAUUCUCUUCCAUUUCCAGAGAAGAAAAAAGAACUUCAGCUCCAUUACAGCCAUGGCAUCCCACUUCAGAUCUGUGAGUGUGCCUUCAAGUCCCUGCUCCAGCAAAAACAAUGUCGAAGAACAGUUGCAGAGCCUAAACAUGGCCAUAUCCUCACCCUCUUCAACCAUCGAGACAAUGUGUGAUGGGUUGAGGAGGCUGGCUGACAUCUACGACAGCAUCCAUGAGCUCACAUGCUUGCCAGCAGCCAAGUUCUCCUCUGCAAGCCACAGCAAAGGAUCGCUGUGGAGCAAGAGCUCGAACGCUCCCUCGUCUUGCUCGACCUCUGCAACGCUGUGCAAGUGAGCUUCUCUGAGCUCAAGGCAAGCCUCCAGGACAUGCAGUUAGUUAUCAAGAGACAAGAUGAUCCAGCUCUUCAGGCCCAGAUCCAGUCUUUGUUCCGCCUGACCAAGAAAGUGCAGAAGCAGCUCAAGAAGAUCAGCAAGAAGUCUUCUUCGGCUGAUUUGGAGAGCUGUAGAGUGGUCAAGUUGUUGGCUGAAGCUAGAGAAGCCGCGGUCACAGUGGUUGAAUCCUCAUUGGAACUCCCGUCAAAGCAAAUUGUGAUACCAGGUUCUAAAACGUGGUCGCUUGUAUCCAAGGCAUUCCAGAAGACAAGAGUUACAUGCGAGGAGGAGCAAUUGCAGGUGCUGGAGUUGGAUCUUGUUGAUCUUGAGAGCGCAGUAGAGAUUUUGUUCAGGAGAUUGAUCCAGAGCAGAUUUUCUCUUCUGAAUACUCUGAGCUUGUAGACUAGAUCAUAUGCCAACUCUGAUCCCCUGUGAUUGGCGUCCGCCUUUUAGAGGAUUUGCUGAUCAUCAGAACAAUUUUGCAAUGUGUAUACAUGAGAGGAACUGUAAAAAAAAAUACACUCCAUUGAGAAACAAGCAUGGUUAUUCGCCCACUUCCAGUUCUUGGUUCCAUUGUUUAUGCAAUUAUGCACGCAUUCAUUGCAUUGAUACAAUCACCUAUGCUUGGGGUGGUUCAUUCAAAAUAAUCUUUAAGACCUGGCUCAGAAUAUGCUUCUCAUUGUGGAGUAUUAUAGAGGUAGUUAGGACAGACUAUUUAAAAUGUUCUGCUACUUGACGGAUAUGUUAUUCAGAUGCUAUGUGUCACAGCAGAAACAAGCAGAAGAUCCUUAUAUAGUGGAUCUUGCUGCCAUAUCUCAAACAAGCCAGCUCCAACACAUGAGCUUGAGCAAGUAAGCAGCAUGAAUUGUACAUAAUGAAACGUGUACUGUAUUUAACAACUACACAAAAACUAGAUGACACAUUUGUCACCAAUAAUACUUGGCUAGCUCUGCACUAAAAUAAUCUGUAAGCAUGCAACUAUGUCAAAUCCACCAAUAGAGUGAACUAACCUGCCAGUUCUUGUCGGCAAUAGUUGGAGAAUGAUAACGUGAUAAUUCAUUGGGAGGAGAGUUCGCGGCAGUGCCUCUAAAAACUGAGCUGUGCAUGAGUGACGAAACAGAUUGCAUGUGCUGCUGCCAGAUCUCAAAACCUUGAUAGACAGCAUCUGGGAGAUGAACUGGCAGGAUUCUAAUUGUUUACCAUCAAAACGCUUCUACCUCGCAUACUUCCUCUGUAUAAAUGGACCUCAGACAGAAGAGCUAGACACAUCCAGCAACGUCUGCUCCCUCCUUCUCAUCUCCUCAACAUCAGUACAGAAAAACGAGUUUCAGCAACAGAUAUGGCCUGCCACCUGAGAUCAAUGAGCUUGCCUUCUAGGCCUCGGUCCAAUGUUGAAGAGGAGCUGUACAGCCUAGAGGCGAGCAUCUCUUCACCUUCCAUGACCAUCAAGACAAUCUCUGAUGGUCUAAUAAGGCUUGGAGACAUCUAUGGAAUUAUUGAGGAGAUCAUGUGCCUGCCUAGCAAUCAAGUUUGCUCUUCCGAACAAAAGAAGAUGUUGGACAGAGAAAUGGAGUGCUCCCUUGAGCUUUUGGAUCUCUGUGCAGCUUAGUUGUUUGAUUUUAUGAAUGGUCAUGUUGCCUCAACACCUAUUUAAGAAUGUCAUUCAGAUACUGGCACAGUCCUUGUGCGAUGGAUCUGGUCCUUAUACGAAAUAUGACAGUUCCAGGUUGCAAGGUAUAAACUUGUAGUUAACACACAGCUGGUACUAAAGAAACAUUAUAUGUGUCAAUAAUUGCCCCAGAACAGGCUAUGCCACAUGUAUCACGAAGGGAAAAAAGGUCCUACAUAAAACCGCAGACCUAAUAAGCUACACUUUCAAUUGGAAUUUCCCCUGCAAUCCGUGGAGCAUGAAUAGGCGGGAACAAGGAACGCACUUGAAGCUCCUAAAUGCAGAAAAUGCCUCUGAUAGUUUCUUUCAAGAGUUUACUGGAUCUCUCAUGACACGAAUCUAAGAGUGAGACCAUACACAAACUCUACAAUGACAUGACAUCAAAUAGCAAAAUUUGUGUUUGCCAUGAAUGGUUACUUCCUGCUCAUACACAGACCUUCUCCAAAAUGCAAUCACACUUUUAUUGCUUUUCAUUCUUAUGUGGUUGCUUUUGGUUUAUUUUUCACAACACAGAUUAUAAACUAAUUUACGUUUCAGCAUAUUCUGAACUAAUAUCCUUUCGAUUAAUUAGCCAAUAAUCAUGCUGUAAGUCAUGGUUUCAGUUUCACGAUAAUACAAGUUGACUAUGAAUUCAUGAAAUUUAGGCUGCUUUGCACAAACUUCAGGUCGACCAAAUUGUUGAGAUUCUAUAGACCACCUAAUAACAUUGCACCUUGUUGCACACACCACAAUGAAAAUAUACAAGAAAAUUUGUAGUCACUCAUCUGUGUCUUGAUGCACACAUCUGAAUCAGAAUAUGUCCAUGACUUUGUUGAAAUUCCUCCCUUCAAAAGUAUAUGUCACUUUGCUUGGACUGUGCCUUGAGACCCUUCAAUUUCUUCAAUAUGUUCGUGAAAUAAUCUUGUAAAUACUUCUCUAAGGUAAGGAUAUCCUUUGCAUCCACCCCAAGAAGCUGGUAUGUCUCAUUCAUUGGAGCUGAGAAAACUGUGUCGCUGGAAAGCACCUGGAUUAUAAAAAUGUAAGUUAUCUUUCAAAGAAUUUGAUAUAUGUGUUACUGUUACUUAAAUACAAGUGCACUGCAUGUAAAGGCCUAGACAAACCUCUGAAAAUGCGAGCCUGUCAGCCACAUCGUUUGUCCACUGGAAGAACCGUGUCAAUUGACGAGUAAAUUUCAAGACUGGAACAGGGACAGUAGUUACGUUGGCAUCUUGCCCAGCCAAUCUCUCACACAGUGUAAUAACCUGAAGAAGGGGAAAUAAAUAGAAGGUAACUAAUAAUGUGCGACCUCCCAUAAGAAAUCAUUUGGUACAUUCUUGAAAACAAAAUUAAAUGCAUCAAAAACUAGAGUGGUACAUUCCCUAUCAAAUAGACAUGCUAUACUAACUGUCCACUAAUGACAAGCCAAUAUUAAAUUGGUUUAGCAGACCUUCCUGAACAGAAAAAUAUACUUAUUCAGCAAUAGAAGUAUUAGAGUUAAUUACCUCUUGAGUUGUCCAAGCACGUGGUCCAGCAAAAGUUAGGAGUUUCUUGCUAGCCUUCUCAUUGCGCAUAGCAACAAACGUCAGUCGAGCUACGUCCUAUAGUCAUGCAAAGAAGUUGUGUCAAAGGAAAGCUACUUUGAAGAGAGGCAAGCUACAAAGAUAUCCACAGUUUCACUUUCCAAUAGAAAAGGAGAAGAGAUAACCUGGGUAUCCAUGUACGCAAUCCGAGUGGGAGCAUCAGUUCCCCACACAGACUUCUCUUCUAGUAUAGGCACAGCAUAUUGCCCAAUGAGGCCCUGCAACAAAAAAAAAUGAUGGAUGCUCAUUUCAGGAAACUAGACGAAGCUGUAUGAAAUCAACUUCAACCAUAAAUCGCAUCACUGCUGCUCUUAAUUUCUACUUGUUUAGGUCUAUCAUGAAUUAUGAGCAAUACACAGCUAGUUUAACGUCACUAUGAAAAGAAAUCUCCUGGCCAGACCAGAAUCGCAGGAAAAAGGAACAACCCCUACCUGCAUGAAACCACACAAACGGAUGAUGGUGUAGUCCAGACCAGUAUCCUGAAUAAACCUCUCCGUACAAUACUUGAUCUCCAUCAAGGGGACCUCGGGGUGCUUGUCGCAGUUGUGAAUGGAGUAGAACACAUACUUCUGGAUCCCCAUGGCCUUGGCACACUGUAUUAGAGCAACUUUUCCUUCCCAGUCUACCUAAACAGAACAACCGUCAGCGCAACUGUCAUCUAAUCAACGACUCAAUGGAACACAUGUCACAGUUGAAAAUACCAUUCACUUCUCUAUAUUUUUUUUUAGAGGUUAUGCUGGUGACAUACUGUUCGAAUGGGUUCCUCUGGACGCCCCGUCGCGCAAUCGAUGACGGUGUGGACACCGACCAGGGUGGCUGGUAUCGUCUCUGGCUUGCUGAGGUCGGCCUGAUUGAUUAAACCAGCGAACACGCAUGAACGAUCAUGAGACGAAUCCGCAAUGCGGUGCCCCCUGAUUUGCCUACAGUAAGGGAGAAGUGGAGAGCGAAGUCGAAGGGAGAAGCGUAGCUACGUACAUUGACGACGGUGGCGCCCCAGUCGCGGAGGAAGUCGGCGGGGGCGGGGCGGGGCCUGACGAGGCAGCGGACGUCGUAGCCCUCGUCCAGCGCCCUCCUGACCACCUGCCGCCCCAGCGUCCCCGUGGCGCCCACCACCAGCACGCUCGUCGUCCUCACGGGCGUCCCCUGCGCGAUGCUGGUCGGGGCCGCGCUGCUGCAGGUCACCGCCAGCCGCCGGCGGGGCCCCCCGCCCGACGACGACCCGGCCCGGGCUGGGUACCGCGGCGCGCAGGUGGCUGUCCAGGAGAGGGCCGCCCGUCGGCCCGUUGAGGUGAGCCCCGAGGGCAGCGCGGCGGCGGCGAGGCUGCUGGCCGACGUCGUCGCCAUUUUCGCUCGUCCCGGAGGCGGUGGGGGUUUGGGUCUGGGUUUGAUUGCGGCGAGCGAGGAGAGAAGAGGAGUGGUGGAGAGAGGAUGCAGAGCAGCCGAUGGUCGUGGAGCCACGUCACCACCGCCAUCCGUUCCCGGCCACGUCACCAUCCCGUUUCUUUCCCGCCACUUGUCGGCCAAAUCUCAUUUUUGUUCUCCUACAAAAGGUUUGCGUUUUCUAAAAAAAUUGGUCAUCGUUUCUAUGGAUAAAUUUGGUUAGAUUGCAUAUGCUAACUGCAGUUUUUUUCAUUCACAUGGUCUAUCGUCCUUGCGAGCCGAUGUCGUCGCAUCAUGGCUCCUUCAGCGUUGACAAGAGAUUAUCAAAUACGGCAUGCUAAACAUUUUGCGGGCAGUAAUGUUGUCGAGGCCUCUUUAGGCGUCAAGGAAGCCGAGUUAGCUUGCCUUCAAGAUAUUUGGCUCUUUGUUGGAUGGAUCGGGAUGUCGGUAUGCUCAAAGUACAAUAGUGAAUCGGUUGUGAAAGCACUAGACGAAUGUAAAGAGGACUUAUCCACCAUCCACCGGUGGCAUCGAAACCUAAGAGGGUGCAGUACCACGAAAGUUCAAAAAGAGUGCAAUUAGAUUGCACUUGAAUCUACUAAACUGGCCAAGGGGUUCACCACCCCGGUGUAGUGUACGGGAGGAGCUCUUGGCGAACAAGCAUUUACAGCUCGUUUGGCAUCUAAUCUUUCGUUUCAUUUGGGCCAAAUGAAAUGAAAUCCAAUUUUUGUUAGGAUUUUAUUUGGUUGAAUUUGAAUUUCAGGUUUAAAAAUCAUUUUGUCUGCCACAUGGAUUUGUAGAGUGAGAGACAAUUCCAGAUAAAUGAUGUCUUUUAGAGAGAAGUUGGGGUUAGUUGUAUUGUGAUUCUGUGGAAUUUGAGAUUGAAUUCAUGUGGCAAUUCCGUGCCAACAAACAAGUUGGUUUCUGAAAUUCAAAAUGAAUUGCUGAAUUCUAAGUCCAAAUGAUGGUUGACAAACGAGAUGUCAGAGUUAUAAUAACUAUAUUUAUAGCUACAAUCAAACUCUCUUGUUCCCAAAAAAAAAGUAGUCAAAGAAAAAAGAACACCUCAAAUACGUGUUCUUGACAAAUUUAAGGUAUGUUUGGAUUUAUCCCCAAAUUGCCCUGCCAAAAAAUUGACAUGACCAAAACAAAGGCAUGAUAAAAAAAUUGGUAAGCUGUGUUUGUUUGGUUUGCAGUCAUAGUAUAGUACCAAUUUUUUGCAAAAUGAUUAGAGCUCUAUUUGGUUGAAAUCAUUUACCUUACAAUCUGGCCAAGCAAAUCUACAUCUCUUGAACUAUUCAUCGAAGAAUGGUUUCUGCAAACUUCUAGUUCGUGAACGAGCAGAAAAAAAAGCAUGGCUUCCUGUGCACCUCAAUCGACUAAGAGCACUUAAGCAUUCACAACCCGCACCAAAUUCCCUCGCACUGGAGCAUCUCUAGACGACUAGGAGCAGUACACGUCUAUCAAUUUAGAGUCCCAUCGAUCACAUUGUAGUUAUUUCGAGUUCUUCUCCAACUCCGGCCAACGCCCACAACAUCUAUUUCUUUGUUUCCGAGGAGGUAUAAACAAAUUCCUUAGGCAUCUGAGCUCAAAGACACAUAAUCUACAGUUCCAGUCAAUCGAUUUUGAGUUUCGGAACCUGCAGCGACAUUAACUAUAAUGUCGCCGCCGGCCACUGCAUCGCCUCCGCUGGCCGUAAUGUGCGCAGCUGGACAAGCUGAUGGCAGCAGCUUGUUUCUGGAGUUCAUCUGAUUUCGUUUUUGUGCUUAUCCAUCACCCCCGACUCCCCAAUCCGUUGACUGCCUCCGGCCUCCGCCAUUGAAGAGAAGAGAAAUGGGAAAGACAGCAGAGACGAGGAAUUAGCGAGAGGAGAAAGCGGGCUGCCAAUUAUUUGGCGGAGGAUUUCAGCGUCCUGAACUCGCCCGCAAGUUGGCGAAAAUAGCACAGGCAUGGUCGGGCGAGAAUUGGCUCACCAAAUUGUCGCAGGAGAUCCAAACGGCGGCCUAAUACGACGGGCGAGCCAAUUUUUUGGUAAGACUGGCAUUGGCUAGAAACCAAACGUACCAUUACUACACAAUAGGUGAAAGGACACAUGUUACCUGAAAUACGCUUCCUGCACGUCAAAGCGGACUUUCAUCUCGUUAAGGACUUCGGAAGGCGACUUGUGAGUACCCGCGGUAUCCCCCAUUCAGCAGCGAUCUCGCCGCGCCGGCGGGAGCGAGAGGAGAAUGCAGGGCGGAUCCGGCGGCAUCGUCUACGGCGGCCUCAAGUACCAGGCAAGCACACCCCCGUCUUCUCGAAGCUUCUAGAACACGCUCCGGUAGCUGCCCCUUUCCGUCCGUAUCCUCGCCUUCUUCUAACUUUUCCCUCUCCCAGGCGCGAUGCAUCGCCGACGUGCGCGCGGACGCCGGGUCCACCACCUUCCUCGCCGGGACCCUCAGCCUCAAGGAGGAGAACGAGGUGCGCUCUAGUCCCGUCCAUGGCCUCCGCCGCGCCGGCGAUUCGGGGGGUGGUUUAUUCGGGUGUUGUGUGUGAUUGGAUCUCGGGUGGCUGAUCGAUUGAUCCUUCGUGUCCAACAAGUAGGUGCACCUGAUCCGGCUGCUGCCCGGGGAGGGUGAGCUCGUGUGCGACGGGCUGUUCUACCACCCUAGCGAGAUCUGGGACCUCAAGUCCUGCCCCUUCGACCACAGGCUCUUCUCCACCGUCUACACGUCUGGUACUACCACGGCACAGAAUUGAAGCUCCAUUCCUUCCCGACCGAAUUCUCCUGCUUUUUUUGUGGUGGAUGCGCACAUUGAGCAUUUCGGGAGGUGAUUCUGAGGCGUGCACAUGUGUUAUGGUGUGAAUGGCAGGCGAGGGCUAUGGCGCGUCUGUCUGGAAGAUCCCCGAGCUGUACGGGCAGUCAAACUCGCCACAGCUCGAGCAGCUCUUCACGCUCGAUGAGCACUCGUCCAAGAUAAGAUGGUGAGCUCUUGUUUGUCUUGAAGUUUUAAACUGCUUUAGAGCUGCUCAAUCUUAUUGCCGUACUAGACAUAUUUGUGCUCGUUAAAUUUUUAGACAUAGAUCAUAGAUGCAACCAGAGUAUAGCUGCAGAACACAUUUACUGUUUAAUUUUCUGAGCCAUGUGGUGCUCAUUUGCGAAUGCCUACUAGGGGUUUCUGUUUUGAAGAGUGACAGAAAUGAUAAACUGCAAGUGCAAAGCUCUAAUUACGGUUGUGGCAAUGAUAAUAUUUAGACAUGACAGGGUUUAUUUUAACUAAGAGGGGUGCAUGUGAAUUGAACAUGUCGAUUUUGCAUAGCAUACCUCACUUGUUUCACAACACACUAUAGUGUUUUUAUUAUACGUGGACCAAAGUUUUAAAAAGGUUUGUGGUCUUAUAAGUUUGUCAUGUUUAUGCAUGUAAUCUUUAUUAGAUCUGCAUGUCUUAAUAUUUUGUGGAGGAUCCGUAGGCAGGCAAUGUUUCCUUAUGUGUAUAAUCCUUCAUUAAACUAGUUUAUUUUUGCAGUGUUCUCUGGUGGCCACUAGGGAAGCAUGAUAAGCUAAUUAGCAUCGAUGACAAAAAUAUUUCUCUCUGGAACAUAGACCCAUCAAAUAAAUCAGCCAAGGUAUGCCCAUCAUCCUUCUGUUCACCGAGGUUAAUUCAACAAAUUUACAUAAUGGAUUCAUAGUUUAUGAGCAUUAUAAAAAAUGAAAGAUCGAUUCCUCCCAAAAAAUAUAGUGAAGAUCAAUAUUGCUAGUAGCAUCAGUUUAGGUACUCAAUCAUGGUCCUUACUUGACUUCAAUGUUACAGGUGAUAUCGCAGGGAUCUGCUGACAUGCUUCCCAAUUUACGCGGCGGAGCUUGGGAUCCACACAAUCACAACUCAGUUGCUGCCGUAACUGAUUCAUCAGUCCACUUCUGGGAUCUCCGUUCUAUGAAGUUAGUAAUUUGAUAAUCUUUACCUUAUUAGAUUUCCUGAGAUUUUACCUGUAUUUAGAUUUUGAAAUGCUGUAUUUAUAUCUUCAUAUGUGAAAUCAUUAUUCUCAGGAGAUCAAAUUCGAUUGAGCAUGUGCAUAUUCGGGAUGUGGAUUAUAACCCCAAGAAGCAAAACAUAAUUGUGAGUCAUGUUUUUCUUCAGAUAGAAAUGAUUACCUUUCUUCUAUCAUAACUAUCAUGAGUCGCAUUUGUGCAUUUAACACUGAAAAGGUGUUAUUCCUUCCUUUAUCUAUGUUUAUUUUCAGUAAGGACUUUGCAGAGUUUAUUUUUCUUGCACCAGUAAUAAGUAACGUAGUUACUCUAGUUGAGUCUCCACAUCAUAUUUUUGUAGAUUUUGCUGAGUCCAACACUUGUUUCCAUGUUGGAGUAACAGUAAUAGCCUGGUAGUUGUUUCAUUGUUGCUAAUUCUUUUAUUCAGCUCUUAUUUAUGCUGAAUACCUUGUGCGUUGCAGGCAACGGCAGAAGACGAAUUGGGAAUUCGCUUGUGGGAUCUCAGAAUGCCUAAGUAUCCUUUGAAGGAUCUCCCUGGACAUUCACAUUGGUAUGUUGAUGUAUCUUGUAAUAAACUCAAACCAGAAUACGUUCAUUGCUAUUGUAAGCAUGCAUCAUAUUCUGUUCAUAUGUGAUGUGAAUGUAUGCUGCUUAAUGCUCGAUGCCUUUGAAUGAACGCAUUUUCAUCCCAUCUCAACGUGGUUUUUACUUUCUAUUGAUCUAGCAAUGUACAGGCCAUAUGAGAUGAUGCAGUUGAAUCGUCAUUUAGUCUAUGUGGCUGUAGCAGUUUGCUUUUUCGGCUUCUUAAUCCAGCAACAUCAAGUUAAUUGACCUCACUGUAAUGGUUUUCACAGGACUUGGGCUGUUCGGCACAACCCCGAGUAUGAUGAGCUGAUUCUGGUCUCUCUCUCCCCUCCCUUCCUUGCUUGUGCGCGAGCUUUGUGUGCGCGACAGAACACUUGUGCAAAUGUUCUGUGUAAUAUAUAUAUAUGUUUUUACUGUGUACUGACUGUACCGAAACUUCUGUAGAGUGCUGGAACGGAUUCAGCUGUCAAUUUAUGGUUGGCAAGAGUUGGUACUGAUGACUCUGGACAUGAAAGGUUUUCUACUACUCACAACUUUUGUUGUUUGAUUAUUUGUUUGAAGUUGUAAUAUUGAAGCCACCAAUCUUGUUUUCCAGCCCUUCUGGUUCAUCCAAUAGGCAAGAAGAACCAUUAUUGAACUCGUAUACUGACUACGAAGAUAGCAUCUACGGUACCGUUGAACCUCCCUACUUGUGUAUACACUAGAAUUCUGAGAAGGAAUCACAGAGCUAAUUAAAAUUGUAGGUAUUGCGUGGAGCUCCCAUGACCCAUCCUUGUUUGCUUCUUUAUCUUACGACGGGAGGGUAAGUGCCUGCAGCCUUUUAUUGUUCAUUGUAAAUGUUGAGUUUUGGUUUCUAAUUUUAGAUUCGAUCUGAACAUUGAGAAAUUCUUUGAUGGUCAGGUUGUUUUAGAAUCUGUCAAGCCCUACUUGCAGAGAAAAUGAAGCUUGUUGAUCUAUUUCCUCCACUUUAUGUGUAUGGGUAUGAAAUACUUAUCUUUGCUAUGAGUAAAAGAUUUCCAAUGUUACCUGUUCUAACUAACCUUUCCUUUCUCCCUCGUGCAGACUUGUUUCUUGUGCAUAUAACUGGUGUUGUAGAGCUUCGCCUUGCCAUUAUGUAUUCUGUAACGAGGGAGUGAUGUGAUGACCUGGUUAGUAGUAACACUGGGGCAAUAGUAAGAUGAUGAUACUUCAGUAAUCAUCAUGGCUGAAGUCCAGGAUGAUUGUGUGAUCUAGCUUCGGUUGAAAAGAAUAUUGUGCAAAUGAGAUUACAAAAUUUUUCCUAUGUCUUCAGAUCUUUUACUAGCUUUUCGUUUUUGGUUGCUGGAGAAAAUGUCAAUUUCUGAUCACUGUUUCUUCGAAUUCCUGUAUAUCCAUGGAAUGGAAGUUGGUUGCCAGAUGUUGCAUUAUGUGAUGAAGUACAAGCGAACUGAAUAGUUAUGUCGGGAUUGGCAAUAUCAAAUCUCAGAGUCAAUUGAUUAACUGUCCGAUUAUAUGCUUGCGUUUCACAAAUCGUAAUGUUUCAUACUUAUGGUACAAAAUGGUUUGCCAGAAGUCGAAUGCAUCAGGUCUUUGAGAGCUUUUCACAUUCAUUCACUUCAGAGCUUUGUACAGAAUGGUUUGCCUGUAGUGAAUUUGGGCUCGACAGUGCGCUGUUUCAAUGCGGCCCAGUUCAGCGUGAUGGGCCGUCCAUCUGCGUAAUGCAUCGAUCGGCCGGCUGCGAUGCAAGCAUGAAGAUCACUGCUCCACGUCCCCUAAAGAAAAAAAGAAUCACUGCUCCACGUUACCACGUACUACUGCUGUGUGUCGUUCGUAUAUAUUUGGACGAGUGAAUUGAAGUUGCGUAUGGACUACCUACCACCAGUAAGAAUCGCAUCGCAUGCUUUGAGUAUGAACCAUCUACUGUACUUGUUUUUGAAUUAUUUUGAAAAUUUCUCACAAUUUUUUUCCCGGAUACACCUCUACUAUAAAACACAGACAUGGGUCGCAUGGGUAUUACUUAGUUCAACAAAAAAAGGUUCUUCUCACCUAUUCCUUCCGUUUCUAAAUACUUGUCGUUGUUUUAGUACAAGUUUGCACUAAAUACUUGUCAUUAUGCAGCUGUAUAUCGCAAGUCUUUUAUUUUCUACUCCCUCCGUUUCUAAAUACUUGUCGUUGUUUUAGUACAAACUUGUACUAAAACAUGACACGUAGCGGUGGAUGGUGAGAUUUAAAAGAGAGAUCACUAUAGGACGCAACAGGAGAGAUACGCAAUGAUCGUAAAAUAAACCGGAGCAAACAAAAAACACAGUUGUCUGUCAUGAUUGUGAUUUUGAAGAAUGUUUUUUUUCCACCCUUUGAUGUCUUCGAGAGCGGACCGAAGGAGAGCCUCACCCAAAAUUCAAAUCUGCAACCAAAAUUCUUUCAAAUUUUUUUGAUCAAAAUGUUAAAUAAACCUUUUGAAUUCACAAAAGGAUUCUUCCAACUCUUUUGUUGUUGUUUCUGUCGCACGGUAAUCCACCGACACCAAGUGGCACCGUAACAAGGACCAAAAUUAAACUGCGAUGCACCGUAGCACACGCUCUCUGUAUUGUAUACACCGUCUCGAAAGUUCAAACCACGCUGCUAGUAUUACUGAUCCGAAGGGCUCCCUCUGUCUCCCAUGUCGGCGCGGCCACUCCCCCGCCGCCGCCGCCGCCUUCGUCGCCGCGGCGCUCUCGUCCUGUCCUGAGGAUCCUUCCGGAGAUGGUCCUGCCGCGGCGGCGGGUCGGCGGCCACGCACACCAACACCACCGGAACCCUUGCGCGUGCCCGUGCCCGCGCCGCGCCGCUCUGCCGGCGGCGGCGGCGGCGCUCCUGCUGCUCUUCCUCGUCGCCGCCGUCGCGCUGCUCGGCGUUGCCCCGCCACCGCUCUCCGACCACCCGGCCCUCGCCUCCUCCCGCCGCCGCCCCCUGGUAUAUAUCGCACCGGUGCCCCUCCUCUGCUCGCCCUUCUCGUCUCCCGAUCUAACUCGUGUUGCCCCUCGCGCUCGGCGCAGCUCAACAGCUCCGGUGGCGGCGGCAGCCUAGCGGUGGAGCCCGAGCGCCGCGAGAUUUCCAAAAGCGUUCCGGUAAGUGUGUGGUUUUGCUUCUCCCGCUAGAUUAAGCGCGCUUGUUUGUCACUUUGUUCACGAAAAUCAGUUGGGUACACGAUUGUUCGCUUCUGUUUGCGUGGGACAGUGAAUCAACUACGCCGCAUUGCUUCCUCUCUUAGUAGACAAUCCAUAAGUUUGUGUGGUUGCUACUUUAAUCGUCUGAUACAAGUGAUAUAUGCUCCAUUUCGUGCACCAUGUUUAAGUAAAUUAGUUGGUACGUAGUAAGCUACUGGGUUGAACUCCGUUUCUGCUUCAUUUCAGAAAGUGCUAUAUACUUAGAUUUGCAUGCUCCAGUGUAUGUCUAGCUUGUUCUAGUGCCACUGCAAUAAAUUUUUGAGUGCAGACCUUUUCCCCUUUUGUUAAAUGAUUUUGUUCUUUCCUCUUUUAGUUAGCCACAACUCACAAUUUCUCAAACUGCAGGGAGGUGGAUGGACUGCGGCAGAUGACCUAUGGGGUUCGAAGCUUGCCAGCAAAUUCUAUGGGUGCAGCAACUCAAGUAGCAAGUUCCCUGGUGCGCAUAUAUUUUUCCCAUCAAGAGUUGAUUAACAAACAUUCAGUGUAGUCACACAUGUACACCAGAUGCUAGAAUUGCUCUACAAUUUUAGAAUGUGUGUUCUGUAUUCUUAAAUUGGUUUUGGUGGUAGUGGUGCCUUUUCUUUGCUGUGCAGGGUCAAUUGUGUUCUUAACUGGAGUAGUCAUCUUUUAAAACGUGCAGAUUCGAGUAAUGUAACACAGCCAGACCGUUAUUUGAUGAUUGUUACAAGUGGAGGCCUCAAUCAACAGAGAACAGGGGUAAGAAAUGCGCAACUGCCAAUGCUAAAAAUAUUUGAUGCCUGUAGAGGGAUAGGUCAAAACAUUUGAGCAGUUAGUCUGAAUCCUCUAGAGCUUGAGUUUGAGAUAAGACUGUCACUCACUAGAUUCUGUUCCGGAAUACAAAGGGAGAUUUUCCAUUAUAUUAGUACUAGAUAACCUGAUUUUAAGUCAAACAAUCAAUGGAACAUAUGUUACUAAGUGGCCAAACCAAUUACUGGUCAGUAUUAGAAGUGAGCCCAUAUCUAUGUAGGGCUACAGAUGCAUAAAGUUAACUGAUUGAUAAUGAUAAACAUGUAUGAUACGCCCUGCGCCUCUACCAACUUUCUUCCAUUUUCUGAGCCCAGAUCUAUGUAGGUAGCCAGUUCCCCACAAGUUCAGAAAAAAUGUACAAACAUGAUACAUCUUCUUCUGAGUUCUGUUUAUUUUACAUAAAACAUAAGUUAGAGCUUGAAUCAUCUGUGCUGUUUCAAAUCAUUACUAGCAGUCUAGGCUAAUUUUUGGAACAAUGAGGCACUUGCCGAGUAAUGUGUGAGGAUGUGGACCUUCAGGAUUGAGGUCUCCUUAAUUUUGCUUUGAAAGAGUAACAUUAGGAGUGGUUCGUUAUGCAUCACAGCUAACUCUGUAGUAGUAUUUGUGUUUUCUGGUUUCAUAUUAUGUCUUUUUUUUGGAAACUGUAGGAAAGAUAUGUCCAUUAGCCUAAUUAAUGCAUGCUGCUUUUCAGAUAAUUGAUGCUGUUGUUGCUGCACGCAUUUUAAAUGCGACACUUGUCGUUCCCAAACUGGAUCAGACCUCCUUCUGGAAAGAUGCAAGGUUUAUUAUGAGUACCGAUCAAUUCUGAACUAGCAUUCGAAAGUCUGCACUUGUUUCUAAGGAGACUGAAAUGCAUUUGGUUUGUAUUUAAUACAAUUUCUCUGCGUUCUGCAGCGAUUUUGCUGAAAUUUUUGACGUUGACUGGUUCAUCACAUCUCUGUCAAAGGAUGUAAGGAUCGUGAAAGAGCUUCCAAAGAUAGGCGGUAAAGUGCGGACUCCUCAUAGAAUGCGUGUGCCCCGAAAAUGUACUCAGCGAUGUUACUUGAACCGUGUGUUGCCUGCACUUAUUAAGAGACAUGUAAGUCGAUGCAGUAUACCAUUGUUUAUUAGUGAAAUACUGAUACAUUAUUUAACGUGCUGUUAUCACUUGCACCAACCUAUUGCGUUAUCAUUUCGAUGGUAGGAACUGAAGAAUGGAGAUAUUUCAUAUGCAUGGUUGUUGAUUGUCCUUGUACAUUCUAAGUUUCUAACUACUGGACACUUUGUAAAAAUGAAAAGAGGAAUGUUUUCAAACUCCCCAAUGCGGAGCACUAACACACCGGAUUAUCUAGCGAUGAUUGGACUGAAUUUUGACAAGUUGUUUGACUAAAGUCAAAUUUACUUAUUCUGUUUGUGUUCAUAGACUUACGAAAUCAAAGUAAAGAAAAAGGUUACUUCAUUUUGUUAGCAUUUUCUGAAUCUAUCUAAUCAUUAAGCCCCUACAUUGAAAGUUCUUUUUGGGACUAUGUUAGAUAUUUGACUUCCACAGUUAAAAUUCUAGGAUAGCUUAUCUCUCUUCUUUCACCUGAUGCAGGUUGUUCGACUAACAAAAUUUGAUUAUAGGCUAGCAAACAGGUUGGACUCUGACCUGCAGAAGCUGAGAUGCAGAGUAAACUACCAUGCAUUGAGAUUUACUGACCCAAUAGAAGAGAUGGGUGAAAAGAUAAUACGGAGAAUGAGGGAGAGGAGCACGUAUUUUAUUGCUCUUCAUUUAAGGUGCUCAAGUUCUCAUGAUUCAGCUUGCAUUUUUCUUGAUGCCAAGUGAGAGAAAGCUUACUGCUAUAUUACCUCUUAGGCUACUGUACACCUUUUGUGACUCUAAAGAACAUAGUUUCUCUAUCUCACGGAACAUGAGUUGAGAAUGAGUUUAUACAAGGGCGUAGGGAUAGCUUCACCCUAGUUGGGAUGAACAUAAUGCCAGCUUUUUAGAAAAUAUUUUUGCUAUUACGAGGAUAUCGUUUUUUUUAUCAGGAGCACCCUAACUAAGCAUAGUCUAGAGGGGAGAUCCACAAAGGAGUGAAUGGAGAUGUUGCUGGCCAACACUAUCUUUCCUACUUAUAAAGUUUGGAGUUGGUGGUUGAUUCACCUUUUCCUAACUCUUCUCUUGUCACCCCUGAAAGUAUAUUGUAUAAACCCCAUGAGUUAAAACAUCAACUCAUAACCCUCCCUUACAUAGUCUCUACUACUGUCUUUCCUCUCCAAUCUUCAUGAGUUUGGGUCAGAGUUCAAAUUCAGCAAAGCCUAUCAUCAGGCUUUAUGACAUUGGUUCAUACGCUGACUAUCAUGUUGUCUUUAUUAGUUGUCAAAAAAUUUCUUGACGAUUCCGUAGCAAAGCACGGGCACAAAGCUAGUCUGUAGUAAUGAAUGCACGUGAUUGAAACUGCAAAUGAGAAGUCUGUAUAGGUUCAGCCUUUCCGUCAGCAUACUCAUGCUAGUACAAUACAGGUACUGUAGUGGUCAGCAUACUGCUAGUACAAUACAGGUACUGUAGUGAUUUCAGAGCGACACCUGGAAGGAGGAUCCUCUGCGUGCUGGCAUUGUAUGAAUAUCAAUUUUGGUUUCAAAUGUUGCAAAUAAGUGGCCUGGUCUAGUCAAUAAAAUGGGAACUGUAUUCUGUAGCAUGCUCUUGUGUGGGACAGUGAAGGUUAGAUUGCUACAUUUGCUUCAUAGUGAACCACUAGCGUCGAUGGUACCAUCAGCAAAUUUGAUUUUGGCCUGAAGUUUAGUAGUAUUCUAGUACUUCUCAAAGUGUUCUUGUAUGAAGCUACAAAUUGUUGCCCCCAAUCAGUGUACUCACUUUUUUAAAUUGUUAAUGGUGUUGAUAUUGUUUCUUUCCCUCUAAAUUUUUUUUUUGUGAUGCCAGAUUCGAAUCUGACAUGCUUGCCUUUUCGGGGUGCUAUUACGGCGGUGGUGAAAAAGAGAAGAGAGAACUUGGUGCGAUACGGAAGAGAUGGAAAACCUUGCAUGUAUGUAGUAUCAUAGGGUAUAAGGAGUCACUUAAAUCGUCAUGAACCCACAAUUAAACUGUGUAAUGCAAUGUCUGGCUAUUUUUAUGUUUCAGGCUAGCAUCCCAGAAAAAGAAAGAAGACACGGUAGAUGCCCACUAACUCCUGAAGAGGUGGGGCUGAUGUUGAAGGCACUGGGCUACAGAAAUAAUGUUCACAUUUACGUUGCUUCUGGAGAGAUAUAUGGUGGGGCAAGGUCAUUAGCACCCUUGAAAGCACUCUUCCCCAAUCUCCAUACCAAAGAAACAAUAGCAAGCAAAGAUGAGUUGGCUCCAUUCUCUAAAUACUCGUCUCGCAUGGCUGCACUUGAUUUCAUUGUCUGUGAUGGAAGUGAUGCCUUUGUGACUAACAACAAUGGUAACAUGGCCAAAAUUUUGGCUGGGAGAAGGUAUACCUUUUUUCUGCUGCCGUAUCCCUGCUUUGUCAUAUUGUUUUCCUAAUUCUGAUCAUAUAUCGGUGCCCUUGGCAGGAGAUAUCUUGGUCAUAAGAGAACGAUCCGACCAAACGCUAAAAGGCUCUAUUCCUUAUUCUUGACCAGAGGAAACAUGUCUUGGGAUGCAUUCUCCUCCAAAGUGCACAUGUUCCAGAAAGGAUUCAUGGGAGAGCCCAAGGAGCUCAGGCCUGGAAGGGGGGAGUUCCAUGAGAACCCCUCGACAUGUAUAUGUGAAAAGACCGACCACAAAACCAUAACCAAAUCUAACCCUCAAAACGAGCAAGGCUCGAGCAAUGGCACCGAGGGAGGCAAAGCCAUCAGUGAGCCCACAGUUCCUAAUCACACUGAAGAAGGGCUAGGAGGAUCGGACGGGGAAGACGACGACGGCGCUCCUGCAGAGAAAGAGGCGAUGUUGGACACUGAGGUGGAGGACGACGACACAUUGGUCAGACCAGACGAUCCUGAGCUGGAGGAGGCUCUUUCAGAUUAGAUAGGUUACCCAGGCAGGCCGUAGAUGUUCGCCAGCCAAAUUUUUUUGGUGAGCAACUGAUGAACUUUUGCUCCUCGAAGUUGUACAUAUUUUCUGCCGUGUAAAAUGUGUAUCCUAGUCCAGUGUCAUGCAAUGGCGGCUGUUGUCUGUUGACCACUUUGUAACUCUUGAGCUUGUAGCUGUAGCAUGUGCCCAUGUCUGAGAACUCUGUUCAUCGUUUUCUGCGACUCUUCUGUUGGUGUCUAAAAUGCACAUCUUUUGACUUGUAUUUUCUUUUGCAGCAAAAGCCUAGUCGAGCAGCACUGUUUUACGGAGAGACCUGCCAAGUAUGCUUUUCAGCUCAGCCUAACCUUCCAGGUUAAUAUCUCGCCCUCGGCUUUGACCGGCUUUGUCUGCAAGAACUGAAUUGAUUCACGUGAAAUCCUGAAAUUCCCGCAAGGAAAUUGAACAGUUUUUUAUUGAGAAAUCAGAAAAGGCUCCGUUAUGAAGCCUGAACUCACUGAAACCAUGGGCAUCCUAAGUUUCGUGGCCCAAUCAAAGUGCCAAACGGCAUCCUAAUUCUGGAACCUCCUUUGCCUUCUUCAGACGACGGUCUCUCCUUCAACCUGAAGAAGGCAAAAGGAGUCCUCCACAGCAGGCUCCAGGUCCAAGGUACCAAUACACUGUCCUCCCGUGAUCGAUAUAUGGCGCCUCCUGUGCUUUCCUAGGCGAUCCUUGCUAGCUCUUCCUUGUCGUCCUUUACCUCUCGUUUCGCAUCGUGCAACAGCCCAGUCCUCUUUGGCCAUUUAUAGAUUUGAGCAUGCGAAUCGGAAUAUCUAGGAGGAAACAAGUGGCCAGACAGACGCUUUCCCCAAUGCAAAGCCUUCCUCGUUAACUCACGUCCGGCCUCACGGGUGUGAGAAAGUGAGUGAGUGAGAGGUAUCCAUCCAUUUUUUUUCAAAUUUCCAUUGCCUACAGACGGUGACACGUCGUCCAGCCUGGUGUGGUAUCUAAUUAAGCUUUAGCCACAUCACCCACCCCUACGUACGUUCAUCGCCACAUGCUAAUGCUUCCGGGUUCAGACUAACUAGGCCUAAUUAUGUGAUAUGGAGAAAAGCUAAUCCCACCUGUCCUGUUGUGGUGUCUUUAAUGUAAGAUGUAGAGUACAUAAGCAAUCUAACAUUGAUUUUCCCUUACAAAAUCUGCAUAAUUCUUUACUCAGUGGCAUCUUUGACAAUGACAUGCAUCUGUUCUGUUGACUGUUGCUGCAGGUUCCACUCACUGUCACUUUCUGCAUAUAUACCCAUCGUCUUCUCUCCUGCCGGCUGCGUCCAGCAGUUGUCAACUCCCAAGGCUGCCAAGCGUUGCCGCCCAACCGCCAGAAGAAUUAAAGAGGGGCCGGACUGCUGCAUGCGCCAUUGCCGCCCUCUUCCCCCUCCUUGGCUUCAACUCCAAGGCUCCAAGCUAGCAUGCUUGCUUUCCAAACCAAGGGAGGAGUAGGAGUAAUUAACCACCCGUCCGUCUAUCCAAGCACCACCGGCACUUGACACCACAUUCUGCUGCAAGCACAAGAAUGGAUCAGUGGAGGCAGCAACUGAUUGAUUGAUUGAUUGAUUGGUCGAUCUAGGCACCACCUCAUCUCAUGGCGAAACGUAGGUACUACUCCUACUCCUCCUCCUUCUCCCACUACUUCUGCACAUGACAUGCAUCUCCAUGGACGCACUGCCCAACUGCCAUUAAUUGUACUUCAUGUGUUAUUAUUCAGUCCGCCAGUUUCUAUAUAUAUCUGCGCACGCACGCAUAAAGCUGGUUCAUUCUGAAUUCCUGGUCUGCUUGGAGCUGCAGGAGUCUGGUGCCUUGCUGCAUGUGCACUCCGCGGGUGGCCUCGCCGGCGACCGCCGAUGCCAUGGACGUCGUCAAGGUUAAGGUCACCGACAGAUACGUAAGUGCUGAUCUGCCUCCGGGGUGUUUAUUCGCUGUUUGAGGAUAAGAGUGCUAUUUGAUUAAUCCGUGUGAUGUGGACAUUCAUGUUUGUGCGUUUGGUAUGUGUGCAGGUUGAGAUUAAAAAUGGCAUCUUCGGGCUGACGUUGUCCAACCCCGACGGGAUCGUGACCGGCGUGCGGUACAAUGGUGUGGAUAAUCUCAUGGAGAUUCUUAACAAAGAAGACAACAGAGGGUACCAAUUUUUUUAUACUCUUAAUUUAUAGUUUUUAUGGUUGCUUACUUUUUUGUCCAUUUGUCCUUUCACGUGGCACAAGACAUUGAUGCCUUUUGAAAUUACGAGUACACAGUUUGUUACUCACUUUUAAAGAUGUAUUUUGUCAAGAAUCUGUUUAUCUUUCAUGCAAAUAUAUGCUAGUACAUAAGAGGUGAGUAAGUGAUAUUGCUGCAUGUUCUGUCAGGUACUGGGACGUUGUUUGGAAUCCACCAGGACAGAGAACUGGCAUAUUCGAUGUGUAAGAACUCAUAAUUCACCGUUCAGACUUCAUUAAAGCCUCACUAAGAUUAGCAUUUUUUCUUGCUAGAGAAAUCCCCAAUGCAUCUGACAGCGAACGCUUUCACGCAGGAUCAAAGGCACAGAAUUCCGCAUCAUAUAUCAUGAUGACAACCAGGCCGAGGUCUCCUUCACCAGAUCAUGGGAUCCUUCUCUGGAAGGGAAAGCUGUUCCCUUGAUCAUUGAUAAGAGGUGACUGACUGAUGCACAAGCAUAAAUUUGGAGCUGUUCUCACCAGUUAAUUCCAGGGGAAAUAUAACAUAAAUCAUGUUUAGCUCAGCAAGCAUUUGUGUACAGGUUCAUCGUGCUACGUGGCAGCUCAGGAUUCUACACCUAUGGAAUCUACGAGCAUAAGGAAGGGUGGCCUGAUUUUGGCUUGGGAGAGACCAGGGUGGCCUUCAAGCUUCGGAAAGACAAGUUUGUUCUCAAAUUUAACAAAUUUCUUUCACUGGAUUUCACUGCCCACUGAAACUAUGUUUUGCUUGUGGACUGCAGGUUCCAUUACAUGGCAAUGGCUGACAAUAGGCAGAGAAUAAUGCCAAUGCCUGAUGACCGGUUGCCUCCCCGGGGCCAGCCAUUAGCAUACCCUGAGGCUGUCCUCCUUGUGGAUCCAAUUAAUCCUGAACUCAAAGGGGAGGUAAGCUGACAGAGAUAUAAACGAUUAUAUUCAAGAUAAAAAGUUGACUACAUUCUGAAUGAUCUGAACAUUACUGAUAUGUUUGUCAAGGUCGAUGACAAGUACCAAUACUCGUGUGAAGACCAAUAUAAUAAUGUCCAUGGAUGGAUAUCAUCCGAUCCUCCGAUUGGCUUCUGGCAGAUCACACCGAGUGAUGAGUUUCGGACCGGAGGACCUCUCAAGCAGAAUUUGACAUCUCAUGUUGGGCCCACAAUGCUCGCUGUAAGUUCAGGCAAUUUUUGACGCAAAUAAAUUUAGCCAUUAUGAUUAUUGGGAAUCUACAGAAAGACCGAAACUGUUUUCAGAUUAUUUGAUGAUAGAUACACACCUACUUCUAAAAACUAGUUAUUAUUUUCCCUCUGGUUUCAGAUGUUCCUUAGCGCUCAUUAUGCCGGGGAUGACCUUUCGCCCAAGUUCACAAAUGGAGAAUACUGGAAAAAGGUUCACGGACCGGUCUUCCUGUACCUUAACUCAAGUUGGGACGGAAGUGACCCAAGUCUGCUAUGGGAGGAUGCAAAAGUUCAGGUAAUUUUUUAUUUUAGAUUAAUAGGUGCAUGAGGAUAAUACAACUCUAUUUCGCACAAUGAAAGAACAUUCGUGAUUAAGUGAGCUAACCGUCAGUUCUCAAUUAUGUUGCAGUUACAUUGUUUCCAAAGUAUUGUUAACACUAUGAGAAUAAAUUUCUACUCACUUUCUUUCUUUUUUUACCGUUGGAAAUCAGACGGUGAUUGAGAAAGAGAGCUGGCCAUAUUCUUUUGCACUUUCUGAGGAUUUUCAGAAGACUGAGCAAAGAGGCUGUGUCUCUGGUAGAUUGCUGGUUAGAGACAGGUACUUGAUAAUGGCAUUUCCCAAUUUACUACUACUGGUUAAAGUUCAUGGUAACUUCAAAUUUUGUUUUGUCAUUUAGGUACAUAGAUGCUGAGGAUUUGUAUGCCACAUCAGCCUAUGUAGGCUUAGCACUACCAGGAGAGGCUGGAUCCUGGCAAAGAGAGUGCAAGGUACUGCAUGCUCAUAAAGUUACCUGCUAAUCGACUAGCUGAGCUGCAUCAUUUUAGAUAAUGGAUUAUUAUUUUCACACAUACUGCAUGAUGUGAUGCCAUAGGGAUACCAAUUCUGGUGUAGAGCAGAUGCAGAUGGGAGCUUCUACAUAAGGAACAUCGUGACCGGAAACUACAACCUUUAUGCAUGGGUUCCAGGUUUCAUAGGGGACUACAAAUUUUCUGCCACGCUAACAAUCUCUUCAGGUCAGCAUCUUAACUUACCUCUUGCAGCUUGGAACUUGAUGGUCCUGAGAUAACCAGUACUGCUGUCCAGGUGAUGAUAUCUACCUGGGUGACCUUGUAUAUGAGCCGCCAAGAGACGGCCCGACGAUGUGGGAGAUCGGCAUACCCGAUCGAUCUGCUGCCGAGUUCUAUGUUCCAGACCCCAACCCCAACUAUGUCAACAGACUGUUCAUCAAUCAUCCUGACAGGUGAAACAUACACUGGCUGGCUACCUUCUGACCUUGUAAAACAUGUAGCAAUUGAGUAAUCCCCACUUCUUAUCAUCCUACGGUGUUCUGCUCCGACUGUCGCAGGUUCAGGCAGUAUGGGCUUUGGGAAAGAUACGCAGAACUGUAUCCGGACCGUGAUCUGGUAUACACAAUCGGUGAAAGCGACUAUCGCACCGACUGGUUCUACGCUCAGGUUACCAGGUGUGUGUCUCUUGUCUUCAUUUCAUUCAGAUAUCAUAUGACCGUUUGCGGCACGGAGCUUCAUCAUGAACUGCAGCUAGCACUGCUAACACCGGUCGGUGUUGAUCUGUCUCGGCUGCAGGAGAACUGAUGAGAACACAUACCAGCCAACGACAUGGCAAAUCCGGUUUGACCUCGACAAUGUCCCACCAAACAGCACCUACAAGUUCAGGGUGGCGCUUGCCUCUUCAGCCAUUGCCGAACUGCAGGUCCUGUCAGAACUUACUAACGGACAACAAUACAAUUGGAGUAUAAUUGACCUUGAACAAUGAUAAUCUCGAUGAUAAUUGAAACCCUGUUCGCUUGCUCGAUCAAUCUCCAGAUCCGGUUCAACGAUCAAGACAGGGGAGCUCCUCACUUCAGCUCUGGGCUCAUCGGGCGCGACAACACGAUCGCGCGGCACGGGAUCCAUGGCCUGUACUGGCUGUUCACUGUCGAUGUGAGCGGCGCCUGGCUUGUGCAAGGGAUGAACACCGUCUACCUGAAGCAGCCCAGGAGCCAGAGCCCGUUUCAGGGGCUCAUGUAUGAUUACCUGCGCUUGGAAGGACCAUGUGGCUGCUGAAUUGUGUGUCUUAUUAAUUCCGUAUUAAUUUAAGGCUAAUUGUGAUACUAUUAGCUUGCCUUAAUGCCUUGCCUAGCUUAAUUAUGCGUGUUGUGUUGUGUUGUGUAGAGAUGUGGUGUUGUGUAGUUGAGGUAUGUAUAUGAUUCAGCAGCAUCCAUGUACUAGCAAUAGUGUAAUACGUGACUAAGAUCAUUGUACUCACUUCGUUCAAGAAACGAUGUCUCAAGUUUGUCAAAAUUUAGAUAUAUCUAGACAUGAUUUAGUAUAUAAAUGCAUUCAAAUUAAGUCAACGGAUGGAGGAAAUAUUCAUAUCUAAUCGAAAGACUAAACCAUGUCAGUCAAUGUUCCCACGUCACUCCCACUGUACAGCAGAGGGGCCAGGGGGUACAUCAGAGGAGAGCCCUCUAUGAAAAAAUGAGUAACAAUUCAGUGGAGUGCAUGUGUCGGAGAAAGGAACGUUUCUACUUGUGGAUUUGGCAGAGAACAAGUCAAAAGGUGCCAAACUGCCAAGUGGCAUAUCAUGAAAUCAACACGACGGCGCUCCUCCACCACAAGCGCGGCUAGAGACCGUCCUGGCCAGAGAGCCCAAUCCAGGCAGCCGCAUCCCAUCCACGUGGCCGGCCACGUCAGCGCCACAUCAUCCACCCCAUCCAUCCUCGUGGCCAAUCGCAGCUCAGAUUGUGAUUUCCGAGAUAAGGACGUGGCCCCUCUCUUCUUCAUCCACUGCCUGGUAUUUAAGCUCCCUGCAUUGCCAUGCUUACUCCUCACAGCAGCAAAAACGAUCUAGUGCAGCAGCAGCUUGCUCUCUCCUCCAUCUAGUAGAAGAAGCAACAGCAAUGGCGGCCACAACAAUGACGCUCUCCACCCCGGCCAUGAAGCUGGCCCGCGCCGCCACGGUCCUCGGCGGCGGGCGCAUCACCAUGCGCAAGAGCGUGGCGAAGGCAAGCAGCUCCUCCGGCAGCCCGUGGUACGGCUCUGACCGCGUGCUCUACCUCGGCCCGUUAUCAGGCGACCCGCCAAGCUACCUGACCGGCGAGUUCCCCGGCGACUACGGGUGGGACACCGCGGGGCUCUCGGCCGACCCCGAGACUUUCGCGAAGAACCGCGAGCUCGAGGUGAUCCACUGCCGCUGGGCCAUGCUCGGCGCACUCGGCUGCGUGUUCCCCGAGCUGCUCGCCCGCAACGGCGUCAAGUUCGGCGAGGCCGUUUGGUUCAAGGCUGGCUCACAGAUCUUCAGCGAGGGCGGCCUCGACUACCUUGGCAACCCAAGCCUUGUUCAUGCUCAGAGCAUCCUUGCUAUUUGGGCCUGCCAGGUCGUGCUCAUGGGUGCCGUUGAGGGGUACCGUGUUGCUGGCGGCCCACUUGGGGAGAUCGUCGACCCGCUUUACCCGGGAGGCAGCUUCGACCCACUGGGCCUUGCUGAAGACCCAGAAGCGUUCGCUGAGCUCAAGGUGAAAGAGAUCAAGAAUGGCCGGCUCGCCAUGUUCUCCAUGUUCGGGUUCUUCGUCCAGGCCAUUGUCACCGGCAAGGGCCCCCUCGAGAACCUUGCCGACCACCUUGCCGACCCUGUUAACAACAAUGCGUGGGCCUUCGCCACCAACUUCGUCCCCGGCAAGUAAGCGUUAGAAGAUCGAGUUGUGAGGAGAGUAAUAUAUGUAUAGACAGACAUACUCUCAGGAUGAUGUAUGAUUAAGACG